AGCGUUGUUCGGAUUCACUGGGCGUAAAGGGUGCGUAGGUGGUGAGGUAAGUCGGAUGUGAAAUCUUCGGGCUCAACCCGGAAAUGGCAUUGGAAACUACCUUGCUUGAGGGUUUGAGGGGGGAGUGGAAUACUUGGUGUAGCAGUGAAAUGCGUAGAUAUCAAGUGGAACACCAGUGGCGAAGGCGAAUCCCUGGAAAAUACCUGACACUGAGGCACGAAAGCUAGGGGAGCAAACAGG
rnacentral:rRNA from 1 species